CAGCCCCUGCCGGGCCUCUCGCAGCCCCCGCGUCCCGUUCUCCGCGGCCCAGAUCAGCAUCCUGGAGGGCAGCUACCGGCAGACACGCUACCUGAGCAGCGGGCAGGUGGGGGAGAUGGCGGCACUGCUGGGGCUCAGCGAGACCCAGGUGAAAAUCUGGUUCCAGAACCGGCGGGCACGGGAAAGGCGGGACUUCUUGAAGGCGCAGCCAACCAGCAGCAAUGCCCUGGAGGGGGCCGAGCCGGCCCAUGCUGCCCCCCUCGGACGGGCGCCAAUGCCAGGGCCGGGGAGCGCCAAGAUGCUGCCCCCUUGAGCUACCGCAGCCUUGGGCAUCUGAUCACAACGGGGCCAUUUGAGUUGCCAUUUGGGGGGGCCCCCAGAUUGGGGGUGAUGGUCCCCCUAUGGGCUGUGCACCUCCUCCACCUUGUUGUUACAGGGCACCCAUCAAACUCCAGCCCCACCCCCAACUGCAAACCGGUCCCCUUCCCACCCCAAAUCUUCAGCCAGAAUUUGACUCCCCGGCCGGGAUGUGAACCCCAAACUCUGACUGAACUCGGGGGGCAGGGGCAGGACUGACACCCACAGACACAGGAGUCGUCCGGCCCGGCUGCUUGGUGCCUCCUGUGUGCAGUGAAUUGGGGGGUGGGUCUCAGCCUGGCCUCUUCACCCAACUCUCUUUCAAAACCAACCGCACAUUUAGCACUCCAGGCCAGGGCUUCCCGUUGGCCCACCCUAGGGUCCCUCUACCCUGGAGCGCCCCCUGCUGGGCCCUGUGCCCAGCGUUGACCCGAACCUCCGUUCAAGUACAACAGAUGACUGUGCAGAACAUCUGUGGGGGCGGGGAGAGGGAGGCAGAAUGUCCCCCCCCACCCCGAUCUCUGCCUUGUCAAUAUCACAGCUCUGCGUCCGAAAUUGACAAGAAAACCGUUCACUGCUCGGGCUGUCACCCCGCAGCAGGUGGAAGGCUCCAGCUAGAGUCUGGCUGCCUCCCGGGUUCCCAGCUCCCAGCAGGGCUGUGCCUGCCCAGCUCCCCACUCCCCCAUCAGGGGCCUGGGUGCUGCCCGGACUCUCGGCUCCCCACUGGAAGCCCGGCAGGUGCCCAGCACAGAGCUUAUUACAGCAGUUGGUAACCCACCAACCCGUUUGUGUCCUGUGACUGCAGGGGCGUUAACGGGCCAUGCUGCCUUGAAUGGGCCCUUGAAAUCUGUGUUCACGCCUUACACUAAACCGUCUGGUCUCCCGUGUAUGUAGCUGGGACGCUCUGAGCCGCUUUCCCAGCCCUGGAGAAGAGCUCGGUGUGGCUUCAAAGCUCGACUCUCUCACCAACAGAGGUUGGACCAAUAAAAGAUAUUACUCACCCGACCUUGUCACUCUAG